rnacentral:rRNA from 1 species
CGUAAUUUAGGCAUAUUACUAAGCGGAGGAAAAGAAACUAACAAGGAUUCCCUCAGUAGCGGCGAGCGAACAGGGAAGAGCCCAGCGCCGAAUCCCACGGUCUGACGGCCGUAGGGAAGUGUGGCGUUUAGGGAGGUCCACUGUCCCGGCGCCCGGCGGCGCGUCCAAGUCCAUCUUGAAUGGGGCCACUGCCCGCAGAGGGUGACAGGCCCGUAGGACCGCCGCCGGCUUCGGGAGGAUCUUCCCUUAGAGUCGGGUUGCUUGAGAGUGCAGCCCUAAGUUGGUGGUAAACUCCAUCUAAGGCUAAAUAUGACCACGAGACCGAUAGCGAACAAGUACCGUGAGGGAAAGUUGAAAAGAACUUUGAAGAGAGAGUUAAAGAGUACGUGAAACCGUUCAGGGGUAAACGCGAGGAGCCCUAAACUGUCGAGCGGGGAGAUUCACGCCCGACGUUCCCCGGCCGCCUUUCCUCCAGAUGGGAUCGGCCGCCCGGGCGGAGCAAUCCGCGCCGGUGUCGUGUCCGAUGCAUCCACUCGGAGGGGAAGCGCGCGCGGGGGAUUGCGGGCUGCACUUCUCCCCCCGUAGACGCCACGACCCGUUGGGUGUCGGCCGAAGGCCCGGAGCGGCAGACCGGGAGGUCGGCGGCGGUCAAACGCCGUCGCUCCGACCGGACGCCCGGCGUCCGGGCCGACCGCCCGACGGAAUGAGACGAGGAGCAGAUUCGCCUCCGCAGGAGGCGUCCGGGCUCCGGGCAAGCGUCCGGCGGGCCGGCGGAAGGCGGUACUCUGUGCCCGGCUUCCGCGCCGCCGCGCUGUUGGCCCGGAGAUUUCCUCGGACGGAACAAUAAAAAUCUCUCCGGUCUGUGGCGCGUGUGCUUUGGGCCUCCUCGCGACCCGUCUUGAAACACGGACCAAGGAGUCUAACAUGUGCGCGAGUCAUUGGGCGUGACCAAACCCAAAGGCGCAAUUAACGUGAAGGCCUCGCCCCGCGCGGGCCGAGGGAGGAAGGAUGUUCGCGCGCGGCCUCGCGCCCGCCGUUCGCCUGCACUCCCGGGGCGUCGCUUCCCCUCAUUGCGAGGGUCGGCGCACCCAGAGCGUACACGUUGGGACCCGAAAGAUGGUGAACUAUGCCUGGCCAGGACGAAGUCAGGGGAAACCCUGAUGGAGGUCCGCAGCGAUUCUGACGUGCAAAUCGAUCGUCGGAGCUGGGUAUAGGGGCGAAAGACUAAUCGAACUAUCUAGUAGCUGGUUCCCUCCGAAGUUUCCCUCAGGAUAGCUGGCGCUCUGCCGAGUCUCAUCCGGUAAAGCGAAUGAUUAGAGGCCUUGGGGCCGAAACGACCUCAACCUAUUCUCAAACUUUAAAUGGGUGCGAUCCCCGGCUUGCUUGACUGAAGCCGGGGGAAGAAUCGGAUCCGAGUGCCAAGUGGGCCACUUUUGGUAAGCAGAACUGGCGCUGUGGGAUGAACCAAACGCCGAGUUAAGGCGCCUAAAACGACGCUCAUGGGAAACCAUGAAAGGCGUUGGUUGCUUAAGACAGCAGGACGGUGGCCAUGGAAGUCGGAAUCCGCUAAGGAGUGUGUAACAACUCACCUGCCGAAGCAACUAGCCCUGAAAAUGGAUGGCGCUGAAGCGUCGUGCCUAUACUCGGCCGUCAGCGGCAACAACGGCGCCGCCGGUCCCCUCGCGGGGCCCGCGGGCCGCAGCAAGCCCUGACGAGUAGGAGGGUCGCGGCGGUGAGCGCAGAAGGGUCUGGGCGCGAGCCUGCCUGGAGCCGCCGCCGGUGCAGAUCUUGGUGGUAGUAGCAAAUACUCCAGCGAGGCCCUGGAGGACUGACGCGGAGAAGGGUUUCGUGUGAACAGCCGUUGCACACGAGUCAGUCGAUCCUAAGCCCUAUGAGAAAUCUGAUGCCGAUGGGGGCCGAUAUGAAUGCACGAAGUCAAAAGCUUUUGCCAAGAGAGUGCAGGCCCCCGAAGGGCGAAAGGGAAUCCGGUUCCUAUUCCGGAACCCGGCAGCGGAACCGUUUCAUGUCGGGCCCGCUCGAAAGAGCGACUCGUCGGGGUAACCCAAAGAGACCCGGAGACGCCGACGGGAGAUCGGGGAAGAGUUUUCUUUUCUGCAUGAGCGUUCGAGUUCCCUGGAAUCCUCUAGCAGGGAGAUAGGGUUUGGAACGCGAAGAGCACCGCAGUUGCGGCGGUGUCCCGAUCUUCCCCUCGGACCUUGAAAAUCCGGGAGAGGGCCACGUGGAGGUUCGCGCCGGUUCGUACCCAUAUCCGCAGCAGGUCUCCAAG